UGCAGUCGAACGGAAACGAAACUAGCUUGCUAGUAGGCGUCGAGUGGCGGACGGGUGAGUAACGCGUAGGAAUCUGCCUGAUAGUGGGGGAUGGCCCGAAGAAAUUCGGAUUAAUACCGCAUAAUCUAUUCGUAGUAAAGUGGGGGACUUUCGAGCCUCACGCUAUCAGAUGAGCCUGCGUAAGAUUAGCUUGUUGGUAGGGUAAAAGCCUACCAAGGCAACGAUCUUUAGCUGGUCUGAGAGGAUGAUCAGCCACAUCGGGACUGAGACACGGCCCGAACUCCUACGGGAGGCAGCAGUGGGGAAUAUUGGACAAUGGGGGCAACCCUGAUCCAGCAAUACCACGUGUGUGAAGAAGGCCUGAGGGUUGUAAAGCACUUUCAAUUGUGAAGAAAAGUUAGCGGUUAAUAACCGUUGACCUUGACGUUAACUUUAGAAGAAGCACCGGCUAACUCCGUGCCAGCAGCCGCGGUAAUACGGAGGGUGCAAGCGUUAAUCGGAAUUACUGGGCGUAAAGCGCGCGUAGGCGGUUUGUUAAGUCGGAUGUGAAAGCCCAGGGCUCAACCUUGGAAUUGCACCCGAUACUGGCUAACUAGAGUACGAUAGAGGGUGGUAGAAUUUCUUGUGUAGCAGUGAAAUGCGUAGAUAUAAGAAGGAAUACCAGUGGCGAAGGCGGCCACCUGGAUCGAUACUGACGCUGAGGUGCGAAAGCGUGGGGAGCAAACGGGAUUA
rnacentral:rRNA from 1 species